GGGGCCGUAGCUCAGUGGGAGAGCGCUGCCUUCGCACGGCAGAGGUCGUGGGUUCAAAUCCCAUCGGCUCCACCA
rnacentral:tRNA from 1 species